GGGUCGGGUUUUUUGAAUUCGGGUCAUAGUAUAUAUUUCCUUUUUUUUCUCAUUCUUCUUGCACACACUUUACAAACCCUAAAAAACUAAGUUGCAUCCUCUCUCCUAUCGCCACCACCAAGAUCCUCAAUUCCAAACCAUAGCCAAACCUCUGCAACAUCAUCUUCUUCACACAAAUCAAUCCUAUUAACCAAUCAAAGGUGUUAAUCUGAAAUUUUAUGUGAUUAUCUUUUGAAGUUCUUAUGUUAUGGAUCAUGAAAACAACGCUCCUUCGUUGUUAAAGUUGAU
rnacentral:lncRNA from 1 species